UACGUAGGGGGCAAGCGUUGUCCGGAUUUAUUGGGCGUAAAGAGCGCGUAGGCGGUUUGGUAGGUCCGCUGUGAAAACUCGAGGCUCAACCUCGAGACGCCGGUGGAAACCAUCAGACUAGAGUCCGGAAGAGGAGAGUGGAAUUCCUGGUGUAGCGGUGAAAUGCGCAGAUAUCAGGAAGAACACCCGUGGCUAAGGCGGCUAUCUAGUACGGUACUGACGCUGAGACGCGAAAGCGUGGGGAGCGAACAGG
rnacentral:rRNA from 1 species